GCACAUGCAAGUCGAACGGCAGCACGGGGGCAACCCUGGUGGCGAGUGGCGAACGGGUGAGUAAUACAUCGGAACGUGUCCUGUAGUGGGGGAUAGCCCGGCGAAAGCCGGAUUAAUACCGCAUACGCUCUGCGGAGGAGAGGGGGGGAUCUUAGGACCUCCCGCUACAGGGGCGGCCGAUGGCAGAUUAGCUAGUUGGUGGGGUNAAGGGCCUACCAGGCGACGAUCUGUAGCUGGUCUGAGAGGACGACCAGCCACACUGGGACUGAGACACGGCCCAGACUCCUACGGGAGGCAGCAGUGGGGAAUUUUGGGACAAUGGGGGGCACCCUGUAUCAAGCAUGCCGCGUGUGUUAAGAAGGCCUUCCGGGUGUCAAGCACCUUUGUCCCGAAAGAAAACGCCGGGGUUAAUACCCGUGGCGAUUACGGUACGGAAGAAUAACCCCGGGU
rnacentral:rRNA from 1 species